AUAAGAGAGGGCAGUUGUCAGAGUUAUAUACUAUAAGUAGGAAAAGCUCAAGAAGAAAAGAAACAAUUGUUUACAACGAAGUUGGUACACUAUUACAGCAUGGGAAACUCCUUAAAUUAAUCGAAUCCGUGGAAAAACCUUAGAGAACAGAGUUCGUUUAUCUUCGGAAGGGCGUACCUUUAACCGGAUGCUCCAACGUGCUUUAAAUCGAUCCCUUGUGGAAAUAGACUCAAACUGUUACUCUUCAAAAAUAUUUUGAAAAAGACCUCCUCUUGAUACAAACGACUUAAGUUACGCAAGCAAACACUGUAAAUUUAUGACCUACAAUUUUAUUAACUUCCUUGAGUAAUUAGAAAUUGAGUCUGGCCGACUAGCUUUACAUGCUAUCGUUUUACGCUCUGUGUCUAAAGAGUUUGCCCAACAGAUUCAUAAAUUAUUUUUAGGUACCGCAGGCGACACCUGCACUGGUUUAAGUCCUAAAGAUUCGUGCGUAGACCUAUACUUUUUCUAAAAAAAUAGUUUGAUUUUGUUUUUAAAAGAGGUUGUAUAUGUUAACAAAGGUGCUAAAGAAAAAAUAUUAGCGAAAUAUACCUUUGCCUAACCAAACGCCAAGGCCAUCAAGGAGAAACCACACCAGCAGAAAAGCUAAGAACAAGAGGAAGAAGGAAGACUGUUCUUCCCUGUAAGGCCCCCGCUUUUGCUGUUGGUAUAAUCCGGCUCUGCCUUUCCAAAAAGGUAAGGGUACCCCUUUGCAAGGAUAAACUUUUA